rnacentral:rRNA from 1 species
UAAGCAUAUCAAUAAGCGGAGGAAAAGAAACCAACAGGGAUUGCCCUAGUAACGGCGAGUGAAGCGGCAAAAGCUCAGAUUUGAAAUCUCUUUAUUUCAUCAAGCGAAUUGUAAUCUGUAGAAGGUUGAAUGGCUGAAUAUUCUGAUGUAAAUUCCUUGGAAUAGGAUAUCAUAGAGGGUGAGAAUCCCGUGAUUUUCAGAAAAUAAGCCAAUUAAUUCACCUUUCGACGAGUCGAGUUGUUUGGGAAUGCAGCUCUAAAUGGGUGGUAAAUUUCAUCUAAAGCUAAAUACCUGCCAGAGACCGAUAGCGAACAAGUAGAGUGAUCGAAAGAUGAAAAGCACUUUGAAAAGAGAGUUAAAAAGUACGUGAAAUUGUUGAAAGGGAAGCGCUUGCGAUUAGACUUGAUAUUUAAAUUCGACCAGCUUACGAGCUCUGGUUUACUUUUUAUUUAUCAGGCCAGCAUCAGUUUGGUGGGAUUUAUAAAAACAAUCGGAAUGUAGUAAAUUUUUUUUAAAUUUAUGUUAUAGCCUUUUGUAUAAUUUUUUAUCCAUACUAGACUGAGGUCUGCUCUUCGGAAAGGAUGCUGGCAUAAUGAUACUAAGCGACCCGUCUUGAA